CCACCGUAAUUGUAACUGAGGCA
rnacentral:piRNA from 1 species